AACUUUAUGUGACUGUCCAAUCAGAGGCAUUCCAAUGCAGCUCAAGGAGAAGUCUUUGCAAGGCAGAUGCUUUGAGCAAGUGCUGCCUCUUGAAUUUAACUCCACAAAGCUAAACUACCAGGAAGUUACAGAACCUGUUGAUUGUCAGCCACGGGGAUGUAAUAUUUUUUUAAAAAGAGGACCCACUCUUCACACAUACAGCUUUUCAGCAAGC